GACGUAGGAGGCGAGCGUUGUCCGGAUUCAUUGGGCGUAAAGAGCGUGUAGGCGGCCGUACAGGUCAGCUGUGAAAACUCGAGGCUCAACCUCGAGACGUCGGUUGAAACCGUACGGCUAGAGUCCGGAAGAGGAGAGUGGAAUUCCCGGUGUAGCGGUGAAAUGCGCAGAUAUCGGGAAGAACACCCGUGGCGAAGGCGGCUCUCUGGGACGGUACUGACGCUGAGACGCGAAAGCGUGGGGAGCGAACAGG
rnacentral:rRNA from 1 species